rnacentral:rRNA from 1 species
CACAUGACUCUUGGCAACGGAUAUCUCGGCUCUUGCAUCGAUGAAGAACGUAGCAAAAUGCGAUACCUGGUGUGAAUUGCAGAAUCCCGUGAACCAUCGAGUUUUUGAACGCAAGUUGCGCCCGAGGCCUUUUGGUCGAGGGCACGUCUGCCUGGGCGUCACGC